UCUAAAUGACAUUAAUUUUUAAUGAUUGUUCUUAAAUUCAUUGCUUAAGAGUUAUUUACAGAAAAAACAACUAGCAUUUGUCCUCAGAUUAUUAAUAUAAUUAUUUUUAUGUAUGCUUGACUGUUGUGAUAAAGGGAAGAACAGUUAAAAGAGGAUCCUGGCCAAAUUAUUAAGAGGACUGAUUUCUGAUAUUAGCUUUAGUACCUCCAAACUAUGAGAUUUGGGGAAAGUCACUCAAGAGCCCUAGACUUCAAUUACCUUGUAUUUAAAAUAACAGAGUUCAGCUGGAACUAGUUAAUCUGUAAACAAAUAGUUUCCAUUUCAAAAAUUGUGAAGUGAUGACUUUUUAAAUGGAAAAAGCAUUAGGGAGAAGAAAACUGAUUCACUUACAGGGUCUUUGGGGGAAAAUUUCUAGCACCACCUUCUCUCCUAAUAACAGUAAAACAUGGUGGGAUAUAAGAACCAAAUACUUAUUGAGUAUUUUCUCUGUGCCUAUCACGACUCUAUUUUAACUCCUGUAAAUGUGACUGUGACUCCGUGAGCUAGAUUAUAUAAUUCCUGUUGGCAGUUAUAAUUGAUAGGCACAGAAAGCCUAAGGAUGGAGUUUGGAAUGUAAUCUGGUCUGUCUGACUCUAAGCCCUGGAUCCAUUGUAAUACAUUAUAACUGCUAGCUUUGCAAAAUGCCUUUUUCCUUUUCUCAUCUAUUUUCACACUCAAACUAAAAUUUAGUAAACUAAAUUCUCAGCAGCACCAAGAAUUUUAGUAAAGGUCCUCUCAUCCUUUAAGAACUUCUUAUGCGAGGAUACUCCUCUUCGCCCACUUUCCCAUACAGAACUCUACUAAAGGUCAAUUAGAAUGGGCUGUUGUUUUUUCCCUCAAAUCCUACACAGAAGUCCUUAAUUCCGGGAUAAGCAUCUGAAUGGAGCAAAUUAGUAUGGUCUGGGAGUUAAGGCAAUUUUCACGUGUGUGUAUGUGAGUGUCUGUUUUAAGGCAUAACAAAGUCCAGAGAUUAAGGCCGAGUUAAAAAACAAAUGAGGACAAACCAGUCUGCUGAGGUGCGGCCAGAGCAGCAGCAACUGCCUGCUUUCUUGAUAAAGGCUGUGAAGACGGCAUGUUUUACUCUUAUUCGUGUAUUUCUUUUGACACGUUCCCCCUCUAUGAAGCCUCAGAGGUGUUUUAAAAUUGUGUUAGGAAACACACAGAGAUAAGAAAAGGCAAAUGGUCCUGUUCUAGUGUCUCAGGGACGAGGCUGGAAAGGAAACGCCGCGCGAGUGGGGUGGGAGCGGGGGCCUGUGGUUUUGCUUCUGUCCGGGCUAAAGGCUGAGUAAGGCAGGGCCCCUCCUUCUGCAGAUGGGUUUCUCCCUCAUUCCACCCUCUACCCACCUCCGGUUCCGCGUGCACGCGCGGGAUAGCCCAGUGGGCCCACAAAUAACGACCAUCGGAGAUUAAUGAAGGAAAGUCAGCGAGCUCGAACACAGGCGUCCCGUGUGGAAGUGUCCAAGGAGACCGCCAGAAGUGCGCAAGCCGGAGUGUGUGAGAGUUUCCUUCUCACCGAGAGGGGGAGCCCCGCAUUCCCGGCCGGGAGCGACCCGGAGUCCCGAGCCCCGCGUCCCAGCUGCCGCCAGAGCCAGUUUUGGAUUCAGCGGAUUAGGAAGAGGAGGGAGGGGGGAGAGCGCGCGAAGAGGGAGGGGACCGAAGCUGGAGGGUCCCGAGUCCAGCGCCGUGUUGACGUAGAGAAACUUUCCCUCUCGGCCUCGGAGACGGCGCCCCGGCUGUGCUGGAGCGGAGAUCGCCAGGCUCGGAGGACCCGGCAGCUCUUCACGCUCCUGCCCGAAGCUUGACCUGACUGCAUCUCUCAGUGAGGUACGGAGAUUUAUCUGGGCUCUUCCCUGGCUGCGAGCCCCGGCUCCCUCCAGGUAGCGUGGAAUCGCUUAGAAACUGAUACCGCGAGGGGCAGCGGGGGUGGACAGCUCCGGCCACCAGUGCCCGGGAAGGCGGGCGCGGAGCUGCGGGUAGCCGCUGCCCGGCAGGUUGUGAAAAAUUAGGACAGCUAACGGCUCAGGGAGUCGUCCAGCACGAAAGGAGGCUAAGACCUGUUGACGCCUGCUAUGGCAGCGCUUGAGGAAUGACGCGGGGAGUCCAGCGAGGUCGGGGACGCAGCGGUCUCCGGGCUCCAGAAGCCUCCUUAGCCUUUUGUGGUAACUUUGGUCCGGUGGCGGGGGGCCGGUGGGCUGGAGCUGCAGGGAGGCGGUGGGGCAACCGUGGAUCAGUCCGGCUGAGGGUGCGUGGAUCAGACUGGGCUGAGCAGGCAAGUCAUCGUCGGGUCACAGCCAGGCGACCCAAGAACGAACUUCCAGGGCAGCCUCCCUUUUGUUGGUGCAGGGAGAGAAUGUGGGCAUGGGGGCGGGGAGGCGCGAAGCUCUAAGGCCGGGCCGCGGAUACUUUAAAGCCCAGAGCUGGGAGGGCCCAAAAGGAAGGGGCGGCGUCCACAUGGUUACCCUUUUGCCGCGCGGGUCAAGUAGCUGCUUCUGGAGGGCGCAAGGCUUGGAGGGGGUGAUGAACCCUUGGGUUCUCGCUGCGACUGCUAAAUUCGCUUGGCGGGUCCAGCUUCUCGUGGCCUCACUCACUACACGGAUCAGAAUCCGGAGCAGUCAGUUCUUUCUAUUCUGCAGCUCCUGCGGCUGCCGCGCUGACUUCCCUGUGUGCGGGAGGGAACUCUGGGCAGGCUGGUUUUCUUGGAAUGUGUUUACGAUGUUGAAUGGGACUUGAACAGGAAGCUGGACGCUGCAGCUGGAACUAGCGUGCCAAGUUAUUUAUGAUUCCAUUUGAUAUACAUAGGAGAGAAAGUGAUAGAAGAAUUCUGAUGGCGACUGUAUGAUAGAAGCUAUAUAAAGUCAAGUGUCCAUUUUCUUUCAACUAUAUUUGAGCAUACCCAGGUA